rnacentral:rRNA from 1 species
AGAGGUAAGAGGUACUACAGGGGUAGGAGUCGAAAUCUUGGUAAAUCCCCGUGUGGGACCACCUGUAGGCGAAAGGCGUCUUACCAGAACGGGUUCGACGGUGAGGGACGAAAGCUGGGGGCACGAACCGGAUUAGAUACCCGGGUAGUCCCAGCCGUAACGAUGCUCGCUAGGUGUCAGGCAUGGCGCGACCGUGUCUGGUGCCGCAGGGAAGCCGUGAAGCGAGCCACCUGGGAAGUACGGCCGCAAGGCUGAAACUUAAAGGAAUUGGCGGGGGAGCACAACAACGGGUGGAGCCUGCGGUUUAAUUGGACUCAACGCCGGACAACUCACCGGGGGCGACAGCAAUAUGUAGGCCAAGCUGAAGACUUUGCCUGAAUCGCUGAGUAGAGGUGCAUGG